rnacentral:rRNA from 1 species
AUUGAACGCUGGCGGCAGGCUUUACACAUGCAAGUCGAGCGAGUGGCGGACGGGUGAGUAAUGUCUGGGAAAGUGCCUGGUGGCGGGGGAUAACUACUGGAAACGGUAGCUAAUACCGCAUACCAUUAGAUCUGCCCAUAUGGGAUUAGCUAGUAGGUGGGGUAAUGGCUCACCUAGGCGACGAUCCCUAGCUGGUCUGAGAGGAUGACCAGCCACACUGGAACUGAGACACGGUCCAGACGCCUACGGGAGGCAGCAGUGGGGAAUAUUGCACAAUGGGGGCAAGCCUGAUGCAGCCAUGCCGCGUGUGUGAAGAAGGCCUUCGGGUUGUAAAGCACUUUCAGCGAGGAGGCGUUACUCGCAGAAGAAGCACCGGCUAACUCCGUGCCAGCCGCCGCGGUAAUUC